UCACCGUGUUCAGGGGUUGACGCACUAUCUUUGCACUCCACCUGGUUCACCAGUCUGGUAAUCACUCUGAGCCUCUGAGCCUGGCUUGCAGCGCUCAAGGCUGAAAAGGAGGAGGCGCUGACAGGCUCACCUCUCGUCUCCAAUGCUUCCAGACUUUGAGGUUGCCAUAGGAACGCAGGAGAAGAUGAGAGGGGAUGCUGACACACACAGGCUAAGCUAUUUUAAUGGGAAAGAGACAGGAAGCGGUCGCAGGGUCGAGGAGUUCUUAAUGCAAGCUGAGAGCCUUAAAGCCGGCCAGUCAGACUGGAGCCUCGCUGACGAAUGGACGCCGCCGCCGCUCAUCGUAUCGUG